UACGAAGGGGGCUAGCGUUGUUCGGAAUUACUGGGCGUAAAGGGCGCGUAGGCGGCUUCGAUAGUCGGGCGUGAAAUGCCUGGGCUCAACCCAGGAACUGCGCUCGAAACUCCGAGGCUAGAGUGUGGGAGAGGAUAGUGGAAUUCCCAGUGUAGAGGUGAAAUUCGUAGAUAUUCGCAAGAACACCAGUGGCGAAGGCGGCUCACUGGCCCGGUACUGACGCUGAGGUGCGAAAGCGUGGGGAGCAAACAGG
rnacentral:rRNA from 1 species